rnacentral:rRNA from 1 species
AGAGUUUGAUUAUGGCUCAGAUUGAACGCUGGCGGUAUGCUUAACACAUGCAAGUCGAACGGAAACGAUACUAGCUUGCUAGUAGGCGUCGAGUGGCGGACGGGUGAGUAACGCGUAGGAAUCUGCCUGAUAGUGGGGGAUAGCCCGGAGAAAUUCGGAUUAAUACCGCAUAAUCUAUUCGUAGUAAAGUGGGGGACUUUCGAGCCUCACGCUAUCAGAUGAGCCUGCGUAAGAUUAGCUUGUUGGUAGGGUAAAAGCCUACCAAGGCGACGAUCUUUAGCUGGUCUGAGAGGAUGAUCAGCCACAUCGGGACUGAGACACGGCCCGAACUCCUACGGGAGGCAGCAGUGGGGAAUAUUGGACAAUGGGGGCAACCCUGAUCCAGCAAUACCGCGUGUGUGAAGAAGGCCUGAGGGUUGUAAAGCACUUUCAAUUGUGAAGAAAAGUUAACGGUUAAUAACCGUUAGCCUUGACGUUAACUUUAGAAGAAGCACCGGCUAACUCCGUGCCAGCAGCCGCGGUAAUACGGAGGGUGCAAGCGUUAAUCGGAAUUACUGGGCGUAAAGCGUGCGUAGGCGGUUUAUUAAGUCAGAUGUGAAAGCCCCGGGCUUAACCUGGGAACUGCAUUUGAAACUGGUAAACUAGAGUAUGGUAGAGGAAAGUGGAAUUUCUGGUGUAGCGGUGAAAUGCGUAGAUAUCAGAAGGAACAUCAAUGGCGAAGGCAGCUUUCUGGACCAAUACUGACGCUGAGGUACGAAAGCGUGGGUAGCAAACAGGAUUAGAUACCCUGGUAGUCCACGCCGUAAACGAUGAUAACUAGCCGUUGGGGGGAUUUACCCUUUAGUGGCGAAGCUAACGCGUUAAGUUAUCCGCCUGGGGAGUACGGCCGCAAGGUUAAAACUCAAAGGAAUUGACGGGGACCCGCACAAGCGGUGGAGCAUGUGGUUUAAUUCGAUGCAACGCGAAGAACCUUACCUGGUCUUGACAUCCUGCGAACUUUCUAGAAAUAGAUUGGUGCCUUCGGGAACGCAGUGACAGGUGCUGCAUGGCUGUCGUCAGCUCGUGUCGUGAGAUGUUGGGUUAAGUCCCGUAACGAGCGCAACCCCUAUCCUUAUUUGCCAGCACAUUAUGGUGGGAACUAUAAGGAGACUGCCGGUGAUAAACCGGAGGAAGGCGGGGACGACGUCAAGUCAUCAUGGCCCUUACGACCAGGGCUACACACGUGCUACAAUGGGAAGGACAAAGAGCCGCGAAGCCGCGAGGUGUAGCUAAUCUCAUAAACCUUUUCGUAGUCCGGAUUGGAGUCUGCAACUCGACUCCAUGAAGUCGGAAUCGCUAGUAAUCGUAGAUCAGAAUGCUACGGUGAAUACGUUCCCGGGUCUUGUACACACCGCCCGUCAUACCAUGGGAGUGGGUUGCACCAGAAGUGGCUAGUCUAACUUAGUGAGGACGGUCACCACGGUGUGAUUCAUGACUGGGGUAAAGUCGUAACAAGGUA